rnacentral:lncRNA from 1 species
GAGGAUCAGCCAGUAACAUGCAGUUAAACUGUAAGAUUCUCUGUCUCUUUAGAAAGGAAACAGACUGCCCCAUUGCUUUCUUAUUGAGAGGGUUCAGAAUAGCACCAGAGAGCUGCAAACCACACUCCCUGGAGUAAAAGCCUUGCAGAUUUUCAGGACACUGCAGCCACCACACUUGGCAAGGACCCAGAGUGUGCAACAGCAACCAAAGAAGAAAAAAAUCCACUCAAUCAAGAUGAGACCAGAUACCUACGUCAAGAAACACUUCAAACAUUUGUCUGGAUCCAACUGCAAAAGCAGGAACAUGAACAACCAAGACAACAGGCCUCCUCUGGAACAUGACUGACAGCUCAGGAAGAAAAUGAUGAUCUAACUGAACAUGGUUAUUACUGAUGGUGACUACAAUACAUUUCAUAACAUUCUAAUAAAACUUAAUAUGAUUAC